rnacentral:rRNA from 1 species
GGGGAAUAUUGGACAAUGGGCGAAAGCCUGAUCCAGCCAUGCCGCGUGUGUGAAGAAGGUCUUCGGAUUGUAAAGCACUUUAAGUUGGGAGGAAGGGCUGCAAGUUAAUACCUUGUAGUUUUGACGUUACCAACAGAAUAAGCACCGGCUAACUUCGUGCCAGCAGCCGCGGUAAUACGAAGGGUGCAAGCGUUAAUCGGAAUUACUGGGCGUAAAGCGCGCGUAGGUGGUUUGGUAAGAUGGAUGUGAAAUCCCCGGGCUCAACCUGGGAACUGCAUCCAUAACUGCUUAGCUUGAAUCCGGGAGAGGGUGGCGGAAUUCCAGGUGUAGGAGUGAAAUCCGUAGAUAUCUGGAGGAACAUCAGUGGCGAAGGCGGCCACCUGGACCGGUAUUGACGCUGAGGUGCGAAAGCGUGGGGAGCAAACA